rnacentral:rRNA from 1 species
UACGAGGGGGGCGAGCGUUGUUCGGAUUUACUGGGCGUAAAGGGCGCGCAGGCGGCUUUGUUUGUCAGGCGUGAAAGCCCCGGGCUUAACCUGGGAACUGCGUUUGAUACGGCAGGGCUAGAGUUCGGGAGAGGAGAGUGGAAUUCCCAGUGUAGAGGUGAAAUUCGUAGAUAUUGGGAAGAACACCGGUGGCGAAGGCGGGUUGCUGGGCUGAUACUGACGCUGAGGCGCGAAAGCCAGGGGAGCGAACGGG